CCUACGGGUGGCUGCAGUGGGGGAUAUUGCACAAUGGGGGGAACCCUGAUGCAGCGACGCCGCGUGGGUGAAGAAGCGCCUCGGCGCGUAAAGCCCUGUCAGCAGGGAAGAAAAUGACGGUACAUGAAGAAGAAGCCACGGCUAACUACGUGCCAGCAGCCGCGGUAAUCCGUAGGGGGCCAGCGUUAACCGGAAUUGCUGGGUGUUAAGGGGGCGCAGACGGGCAUGCAAGUCAGGAGUGAAAGCUCGGGGCCCAACCCCGGGACUGCUCGUGGAACUGCGUGGCUGGAGUGCAGGAGAGGCAGACGGAAUUCCUAGUGUAGCGGUGAAAUGCGUAGAUAUUAGGAGGAACACCAGUGGCGAAGGCGGUCUGCUGGACAGCAACUGACGCUGAGGCGCGAAAGCGUGGGGAGCAAACAGGAUUAGAUACCCUAGUAGUC
rnacentral:rRNA from 1 species